GCCAAAAAGUUCGUUUGGAUUUUUCCGUAAGCUGGAAAAACCCAAAUGAAAUUUUUGGC
rnacentral:miRNA from 1 species